UACAGAGACUGCGAGCGUUAUUCGGAUUCACUGGGCGUAAAGGGUGCGCAGGCGGCCGUGUGUGUGAGGCGUGAAAGCCCGGGGCUUAACCCCGGAAUUGCACCUCAAACUACACGGCUAGAGCAUUGGAGAGGGUAGCGGAAUUCACGGUGUAGCAGUGAAAUGCGUAGAUAUCGUGAGGAACACCAGAGGCGAAGGCGGCUACCUGGACAAUUGCUGGCGCUCAGGCACGAAAGCGUGGGGAGCAAAAGGG
rnacentral:rRNA from 1 species